rnacentral:rRNA from 1 species
UUGAAAGGGAAACGAUUGAAGUCAGUCGUACCGACGAGAAAUCAGCUCUUUGAGUGUGGACUUGUGGGCGUGCGUGAGCUUUACGGUCUCGCUGUUUGCAAUGUUUGUUCUUUUUGGGUGUACUUUUUCGUAUGGUAGGCCAACAUCAGUUUCGAAUACCAUAAAAUGACCGGCGGAAUGUAGCUUCGAUCUCGUAUUGAAGUGUUAUAGCCUCUGGUAGAUGUGGUGUUUGGGACUGAGGAUUGCAACGAAUAUCCUUUGGGCUAUCCGUCUGAUCUCUGAAAGUUGCUUAGGUGCCGAAAGCGUGCUUACGGUUAUUUAAGUUGACGGUCAAAAGGUUAGAACGUGAUUACAUUCGUUAAGGAUGUUGACGUA